rnacentral:rRNA from 1 species
GAAGCCUGUUUUAAGAUGAGGUUUCAUUUGAGGUCCCCCAAAGACGAUGGGGUUGAUAGGCCAGACCUGGACGCACCGCAAGGUGUGAAGGCUACUGGUACUAAUAGACCAAAACAAACACACACACCC